GCGGACGUGGCGGAACUGGUAGACGCAACGGACUUAAAAUCCGUUGGGCGAAAGCCCGUGUGGGUUCGAGUCCCACCGCCCGCACCA
rnacentral:tRNA from 1 species